GACGAACCGUGCGAACGUUGUUCGGAUUUACUGGGCGUAAAGGGCUCGUAGGUGGCCAACUAAGUCAGACGUGAAAUCCCUCGGCUUAACCGGGGAACUGCGUCUGAUACUGGAUGGCUUGAGGUUGGGAGAGGGAUGCGGAAUUCCAGGUGUAGCGGUGAAAUGCGUAGAUAUCUGGAGGAACACCGGUGGCGAAGGCGGCAUCCUGGACCAAUUCUGACACUGAGGAGCGAAAGCCAGGGGAGCAAACGGG
rnacentral:rRNA from 1 species